rnacentral:rRNA from 1 species
UUGGUAAUUUGUCAGCCGCCGCGGUAAUACGGAGGAUGCGAGCGUUAUCCGGAUUUAUUGGGUUUAAAGGGAGCGCAGACGGGUCGUUAAGUCAGCUGUGAAAGUUUGGGGCUCAACCUUAAAAUUGCAGUUGAUACUGGCGUCCUUGAGUGCGGUUGAGGUGUGCGGAAUUCGUGGUGUAGCGGUGAAAUGCUUAGAUAUCACGAAGAACUCCGAUUGCGAAGGCAGCACACUAAUCCGUAACUGACGUUCAUGCUCGAAAGUGUGGGUAUCAAACAGG